CAUCUCCCGUUUUAACCCCAAAAGGGAGUUGAUUUCUAAAAGAUACAUUAUUUGGAGACCUUUUCAUCAUCUAUAGAACAUACGUUUUAAAUUUCAAGUCUUUUACUUCUAAAACAUAGGACUUUCAUACAAACUUCCAACCGCCGUUUUACCCCCUUAGGGGUCGAGUUUCGUCAAAUCCAUUCUUAGCAGUAGUUUGUAAGUGUUAUAGUUUCGGAGAUUUCGUGAUGAGUGAGUCAAUCUACCAUCCCCCGAUUCAACCCCAAAAGCGAGUUGAUUUCUAAAGAUAUAUUAUUUGAACACCUUCUCAUCAUCUAUAGAGCACACAUUUUAAAUUUCAAGUCU
rnacentral:misc_RNA from 1 species